GCCGGGUUUGGUGGCUCACACCUGUAAUCCCAGCACUUUGGGAGGCCGAGGCGGGAGAAUCACUUGAGCCCAGGAGUUUGAGACCAGCCUGGGCAACAAAGAGAGACCCUGUCUCUA
rnacentral:SRP_RNA from 1 species